rnacentral:lncRNA from 1 species
CUUGUGUAAUCAGAAUGAUUGAAAUAAAUUUUGAAGGAAAAAACCCCCAAAACUGAUUUUCUUUCUUAAUAUUAUUAUGUCUAAAUUAUACUUUGGACAUCUAUACAACCAUGAAAUUGUUCACUGUGUUCUUUCUUUUCACCUUAAAAUCAUGGAGGGUUAAUGAGUAGAGAACUCGAUGUAUUUACCCAUAGAAAGCAGUGAAACAAUCAUUUUUUAUUUACUUAGUUUGGAAAAACUAUAAGCAUUCUUUCUUUCUUUGUGAUCACGGACUAAUAAUUACACAAAUUGUUUUGUCUCUGAUUCUGUAUCUUAGCCUUACAAUUAGUAGAAUCUUGUGGGGUCAGUAAUCCCACUACUAAUCACAAAAACUACCACCUUUCCCCCAAGAGUUUAUUGUUACUGUGUAAUAUUUUUAGGAAGUAUUUUAGUUAAUUCCUGUAGUUUAUUUGUCCUUUUCUGCUUGCAUAAGCCCAAUUCAGUUAAUAGUAUUGUUUAAAAAUACCUGUUGUCAUCUCUUUCAGAUGCAUCUGGACCAAAUUGGUUGUCUUACAUUGAGCACUGUGUCAACUUUUUGUUUUUUGUUAUUUAAUGGCAUUCUUUAA